GCCUGUGCUCCUCCAAGGAAGGAGUUUGCUUUACCCAACUCCCUUUUUGAUAACAAGGUAGAAAGCCCCUACCGGACACUCAUUAGUUUCGAAUGAAGAAUGAACAAUGCCCUAGCAAGCAUCAACUCCUAUAAAAGAGCGAGACUUUACUAAACAAGCAAGAAAAGCCCUUUCUAUCUUAUUAGUCAAGCAUUAACACCCUAUCUAUAGUAAGCUAUAGUAAGAGGCCUUUUCAAUAAGGCU
rnacentral:lncRNA from 1 species